rnacentral:tRNA from 1 species
AGAGUAGCUCAAUCGGUGGAGCGCCAGAUUGUGGUCCUGGAGGUCGUGGGUUCGAUUCCCAUCUCU